AGAAUAUUAAAGCUGAAGAAACAGCCCGCUCAGAGUUUAUCUCGCUCAGGCAGUGCUUUGCUUGUCUCGUUGGUUGUAUCUAGCCUGAUUCAUCAGCCAAUUUCACCUCGUGGAAAACAUCUGACCUCACAGCAUUAGGAUUUGUUCACUCAACGCUUUAAAUCCUCGAUCUUGGGAAUCGUUGUCAACACAGAAUGUCUGGUCUCGUCUACAUCCAUCUCGACCACUUUGUUUACUGUUGUGCUGUACCACAAAAGGAAUCCAGACAGGCGCUUGAGUUUGACGUCAUGGCUUCACAGAUCUUCGCUGAUUGGCCGAUGAGCAGUCUACAACUUCCAGGGUUCUUGCAAACCGUCUAGUGUAUUUGUGACCUAGUCACUGCAGAGAAAUUAAAUUGAGUGGAGGCAC